CGGGCUGUAGCGCAGUGGCUAGCGCGCUUGGUUCGGGACCAAGAGAUCGACGGUUCGAAUCCGUCCAGCCCGA
rnacentral:tRNA from 2 species